UGAGGGAAUAUUUGGGGUCAAUGGCCGCAAGGCUGAACCAGCCAAGUAGCGUGCAGGAAGACGGCCCUCGGGUUGUAAACUGCUUUUAGUCGGGAAUAAAAGGGCGCACGUGUGCGUCGUAUUGCAAGUACCGUCAGAAAAAGGACCGGCUAAUUCCGUGCCAGCAGCCGCGGUAAUACGGAAGGUCCGGGCGUUAUCCGGAUUUAUUGGGUUUAAAGGGAGCGUAGGCGGUCUGGUAAGUCAGCUGUGAAACGCGGGGCUCAACUCCGCGCCUGCAGUUGAUACUGUCGGACUUGAGUGCACGCAGGGAUGCCGGAAUUCAUCGUGUAGCGGUGAAAUGCUUAGAUAUGACGAAGAACUCCGAUUGGGAAGCCAGCUUACUGUAG
rnacentral:rRNA from 1 species